AAGAGAUACUACACAAGUUCAGACAUUUAAGAAUAACAUAGAGCACAUAAUAUUGUAUGCAAAAAUCAUGAAUGCUCAUUCCAAAAUAAAUUCAUUUUUUAACAUUGCUGAAAUCUGUAAUUGAUCAAUUGUUAGCGCUUAGUUAUGCUUAAUGGAUGGCUUAGGACUUCCAAAUGAUGCUUUCUAGUAAUAUUGAGGGUUGUGGAUUUAGGAAUACG
rnacentral:misc_RNA from 1 species